UACAGAGGUGGCGAGCGUUGUUCGGAUUUACUGGGCGUAAAGGGCGCGUAGGCGGCCGCGUGUGUGGGGUGUGAAAUCUCCGGGCUCAACCCGGAAAGUGCGCCCCAAACUGCGCGGCUCGAGUUCGGGAGGGGGGAUCGGAAUACAGGGUGUAGCGGUGAAAUGCGUUGAUAUCCUGUAGAACACCGGUGGCGAAGGCGGAUCCCUGGAACGAAACUGACGCUGAGGCGCGAAAGCAGGGGGAGCAAACAGG
rnacentral:rRNA from 1 species